CGUGCAUAACACAUGCAAGUCGAACGAUGAAACUUAGUAGACUUCUUCGGAAUGACACUAAGCGAAUUAGUGGCGAACGGGUGAGUAACGCGUGAGUAACCUGCCUUACACAAGGGGAUAGCCUUUGGAAACGAAGAAUAAUACCCUAUAAAACUAUAAAAGCACAUGCUAGAAUGGUCAAAGUGCUAGCGGUGUAAGAUGGACUUGCGUCUGAUUAGCUAGUUGGUGAGAUAAAAGCUCACCAAGGCAACGAUCAGUAGCCGGCUUGAGAGAGUGUACGGCCACAUUGGGACUGAGACACGGCCCAGACUCCUACGGGAGGCAGCAGUGGGGAAUUUUGCACAAUGGGGGAAACCCUGAUGCAGCGACGCCGCGUGAUUUAGAAGGCCUUCGGGUUGUAAAAAUCUUUUGUAUAGGAAGAAGAUGACAGUACUAUACGAAUAAGGUCCGGCUAAUUACGUGCCAGCAGCCGCGGUAAUACGUAAGGACCGAGCGUUGUCCGGAAUCAUUGGGCGUAAAGGGUACGUAGGCGGCUAGAAAAGUUAGAAGUCAAAGGCUAUAGCUCAACUAUAGUAAGCUUCUAAAACUAUUUAGCUUGAGAAAUGGAAGGGAAAGUGGAAUUCCUAGUGUAGCGGUGGAAUGCGCAGAUAUUAGGAAGAAUACCGGUGGCGAAGGCGACUUUCUGGCCAUUAUCU
rnacentral:rRNA from 2 species